rnacentral:rRNA from 1 species
UACGGGGGGAGCAAGCGUUGUUCGGAUUUACUGGGCGUAAAGGGCGCGUAGGCGGUCAGCACAAGUCAGUUGUGAAAUCUCCGGGCUUAACUCGGAAAGGUCAACUGAUACUGUGCGACUAGAGUGCGGAAGGGGCAACUGGAAUUCUCGGUGUAGCGGUGAAAUGCGUAGAUAUCGAGAGGAACACCUGCGGCGAAGGCGGGUUGCUGGGCCGACACUGACGCUGAUGCGCGAAAGC